rnacentral:rRNA from 1 species
GUCCACGCCCUAAACGAUGUCAACUAGUUGUUGGGGGCCUUACCGCCCUUAGUAACGCAGCUAACGCGUGAAGUUGACCGCCUGGGGAGUACGGUCGCAAGAUUAAAACUCAAAGGAAUUGACGGGGGCCCGCACAAGCGGUGGAUGAUGUGGAUUAAUUCGAUGCAACGCGAAAAACCUUACCUACCCUUGACAUGUACGGAAGCCCGAUGAAAGUUGGGUGUGCCCGAAAGGGAGCCGUAACACAGGUGCUGCAUGGCUGUCGU